UACAGGGGGUGCAAACGUUGCUCGGAAUUAUUGGGCGUAAAGCGCGCGUAGGCGGCUACUUAAGUCGGAUGUGAAAGCCCUCAGCUUAACUGAGGAAGUGCAUCUGAUACUGUAUCGCUAGAGUGUCGGAGGGGGUGGCGGAAUUCCCGGUGUAGAGGUGAAAUUCGUAGAUAUCGGGGAGGAACACCGGUGGCGAAGGCGGCGACUCGGUGA
rnacentral:rRNA from 1 species